AUUUUUCUUCGGGGCAUGGUGAGAAAGCUAAGGCUUUCAAUUCCUGACCGGCGGUAUAGCCCGCGAGCCAUUUUUUUGGCAUGAACUGGUGUGAUUCCAGUGCCGACAGUAUAGUCUGGAUGGGAGAAGACGGAU
rnacentral:ncRNA from 2 species